UGGUCAGUGUAGCUUUGAUUGGUCAUA
rnacentral:piRNA from 1 species